UACGGGGGGGGCAAGCGUUGUUCGGAAUUACUGGGCGUAAAGGGCUCGUAGGUGGCCAACUAAGUCAUACGUGAAAUCCCUCGGCUUAACCGAGGAACUGCCGUCCAAACUGCUUUGCUUGAGACCGGGAGAGGUGAGUGGAAUUCCCAGUGUAGCGGUGAAAUGCGUAGAUAUCGUAAGGAAGACCAGUGGCGAAGGCGGGUCUCUGGACAGUUCCUGACGCUGAGGCACGAAGGCCAGGGGAGCAAACGGG
rnacentral:rRNA from 1 species